GGGGUCGUAGCUCAGGUGGUAGCAGCGCUUCGUUCGCACCGAAGAGGCCGGCGGUUCGACUCCGCCCGACUCCACCA
rnacentral:tRNA from 4 species